CUAUGCAAAAUUAGUUGAGUCGAUGGCUGAGUCCCAAGGUUGAGGAGUUCCCCAUCAUUGGGUCUCAGUCUCUGUCUCCUAAGCCCCCCACAACAACAAGGGGCAAAGGAUUGGGGGGGGUUCCUUAAAGUCCAAGCCUUUAGCUCAAAUGUCUCAUGGUUAAUCCAGUAAUGUUUGUAUAUAUAAAGAGUAACAAAGGUAUUAGACAGUGCAACAGCGUUUCUCAAUAAUCUAUUUGAUACUCAUUAGUUUUUCAUAUGAAAGUUUCUUCCUGGUAAAUCUAUCAAAACUGCAAUAAAAGUAUUCUCUUCAUUUGUGCUCAUCUAUUUCUUUCAGUCUGGAGAUACAGAGGAGGUAAAUCUGGGAGGUAAUGUGUUCUUGCAUUUAUUUCAGAGCUUCAUUCAUGGCAUGCAAAGUCACCCAUAUGCAAGUCAGAGGGCAACUGCAGGUCAUGAAGUGGAUGAAAUUUGCUUUUUAUCUAUCCAUAAUUGAUUUCUUAACACUCUCCACAUAGUUAUAAUCUGGCAUUGUUACCAUAAAAACAAAAAAACUCAUGUUCUGAUUUAUUCACUGAACUGUCAUGACAAAAAAGUUGAUUAUCAGUAAUACCAGAAACGUUUCACUUUAAAAUGCCACAGCAAGAUUAAAUAUGCUGUGAUAACUGUUAUGACAACCAUAAUAGAUGUUCAAGCAAUUAUUUUAUUAAGUAGAGUAUAUAAAAAAUAAUAAACUUGUACAGUACGCAUAGGAAGAUAGGCAAGCUGUGCUAUGUGUUCCCCUCUUUAAGAUGGCCAUCCUGCCUAAACCAACAAAAGUUAUGGAUUGCCACUUCACUGUAAGUUCUAACCACAAUAAAGUCAUCAGUUGCUAAAUAAUGUGAACUAAUUCCAACCUAAAUACCAGUUUUAAUUAAACUACAUAUUAUGUCUACAUUGGUGGUCUUGCACUGAAUCAUGUGGAUGAUUAUUAUUAUUAUUAUUAUUAUUAUUAUUAUUAUUAUUAUUAUUAUUAUUAUUAUUAU